UUUGCAUUUCUUCAUUACCACGCUUCGAGUUCUCUUUAUUUUGUGGAGCCGGCAACGGGAGUGACGUCAGAGAGGCUGCUCGUGCAUGCACAAGAUCGACGGUUUCGAGUUUUCUUUACACAGUCGGAACAGACAGAGGCGGACAAGACGAAAACGCGUCGGAUCAGAACCAGAACCCUGCAGGUUUUAUUCAAGAAAUGCGAGUCGGUGCAUGAGGUUCUAUUAGACUGAAACCCUCCUGAAACACUUGUGAUCUCGUAACCGUGUAAUCAUGAGGUCAUCAAGGUGAUCAUGAGGUUUUCUAAUGGGCGUCUGAUUGCAGUAUGUCAGCCAGCACAAAGUUGCCACUAUGCUGCCCUACCUGUGGUGAGGUGUGCCCGUCACGAGGCCACACCUGCCCGACAUUCUGUCUGACUCCACGACGGAGCUCUGAGGGUGGGCUGACGUUCCUGCACACCCAGCGAGAAGCAGCCACAGCAGGAAAGACGCUGGACCUCCUAGAUGCCCUCAGUCUGGCAACCUCGGCAACCCAUCCCCUCCAAAAGAUCUUCAUCCAGAGAGACACUCCGUCCGUCCUGACCACAUCUCUCUCUCCGAUACUGGCCGUCGCGGUCACCUCCGGAGAGGCAGAGGGGGACGCGGAAGGCGCCGUGACCCGGCUGGGCGUGCCGUGGAUAGGUCGGCUGGCGCUGGAGGCCCGGCUUCAGCGGCUGGCACUGGAGGUGCAGGAGCAGGUGUCCCUCAGACUGGAGGCUCUGCAGGAGGAGGUGAAGAGGAGGAGCGUGGAGGUGAGGAGAGCGAGGAGAGACAGCGAGAGGAUGGACAGAGAAAGGCGCGAAGCAGAAGAGAGAGCGGCACGACUCGAGCGUCAGGUGGACAUCUCUGUAGAGAUGCUGGCCAACCUCAGAUAUGAGCUGAGAGAAAGAGAAGAACAGCUUCAGCGCAAACACCAGGAGGUGUGUGAACUGGAUCGGUUUGUACGGGACACGGCGCUCCGUGAGGCGAGCGCAAAGAUUCGUCUGCAGCGUUUCAUUGAAGAUCUUCUGGAGAGAGCGGAGAAUGCUGAGAUUCAGCUGGAGAACAUCCAUCUACACGAUGAUGUCACUUCCUCUCACAGACACCUGGCAGGAAGCAGAGCAUCGGGGUACCUGAGGAGUAACAGUGUUUCUGGUCGAGUUUCUCAACUGUGUGAUCACAGAUCUUCUCCAUGCUGCAGGUGUGAUAUCAGGAGACCACGUACGCUGUCUGUAGGAUCAGGAAGUUGUGACGGUCACUGGAGGGGUGAGCCGUGUGAACACAUGUUGUGUCUGGGGGUUGAAGGAUUGGAUUCACCCUGGCUGAUCCAACACACACACACAGAUUCUGAUGACGGCUCACUUUACACAACACAAUCACAGGAGGACACUGAGUACAGGGCAUAUCGCAGAACAGGUGGAGGUGUGUUGAGAAAGAAGAGAUCCAGUCAAUCACUUGUGUGUUCUGAGCGUCUGCGAUUAAAAGCCGGAUUGUUUUGUGUGUUUAUGUAUCUGGACACAAACUCUCUCCUCACUGCUGCACAGGUGUGUAAGGACUGGUGUAGUGUUGCUCGACACCCUGCUGUCUGGACCAGAGUAACACUAGAGAAUGCACGAGUUUCAUCUAAGUUUUUGUUAACCCUGUCUCAGUGGUGCUGUCAAACACAGUCUCUUGCUCUUCACAACCUAAAACCUCGCUCUCGCAACAAGAAAGAAAGCAAAGAUGAAUAUUUAAAGACCACAAGAGGCGGUCUGGAGGUGGGACUGGAGGCGGUGCUUAAGUCAGCAGGGCGGAGUCUCGUCACUCUGAGCAUCUCCCAUUGUCCCAACAUUUUGACGGACAGGUCUCUGUGGCUCAUCAGCUGUCACUGUAGAUCACUGCAGUCCCUCACGUACAGAAGUGCAUCAGAUCCGGUGGGUCAGGAGGUGAUUUGGGCUCUGGGUGCGGGAUGUAGAGACAUCACCACCCUGCGGAUCGCACCGCUGCAACCGUGUUUGCAGCCCAAUCGGUUCAGUAACCGUUGCUUGCAGACGAUUGGUCGAUGCUGGCCAAACCUGUGUAGGGUGGGUGUGGGCGGAGCCGGAUGUGGUAUCCAGGGAUUGACCUCUUUGGUGAGAAACUGUGUGAAUCUGUGUGAGCUGGAAUUGAAUCAUAUGAAUGAACUGAACCAGGAGGGGGCGGCAGAGAUCUGCAAAGAUGGACUACAACAACUUCACACCUUGACCUUCAUCUCAACGCCCAUCACUGCUAAAGCAAUACUGCACUUUAAAAUAAUAAAAUUUUGUGUCUGUGUGCAGGUGUUUGUGUGAAUCUGAAGAGGAUUGUGGUACGGUUGAGUAUAGCAGAUUAUUUUGAGGAUGUAGAUAAUGAAGAAGCUCAGAGGCUGUUUGAAGAAAUCAUCUGUAACUUACAGUGUUUGAGAAAGAGAGCUGCCCUGGCUGAUGUCCUGCACAUCAAGGUGGACAAACCCUGAUAAUGACAUCUGAUCUGUCGGUGUUAGUUCACCACAUUGACAAUCUAAUGCACACAUAAACACACAUAGAUGCACAGAAACAAUAGAAGCACUUUUUUAAUAUUAAGUGUUUUGUGAUAGUGAACAGAUGCACAAUUACAGCACAUUAUCUUCCUCAGGUCCUUUGUUUAUAAAUUUAGGUUUACGUGUAGACUAGAGAUGUAAUACGGUGUAUUUAAAGUUGUAGAGAUGUUGCAAUAACUAUAUAAACACAUGUUUUCCCUCAGUACAGUUUUUACAAACACGCACACACACACACGCACACACACAUAUGUGUGUCUUCCAUCAGUUGUUGAUGGCUUUAGAAUAACCUGACACAUCAGAUCUGUAAAAACAGGAAUUUCUGUUAUGAUAUAUAAAUGUGUUUUUAACUGCUAAGACCAUUAUUGCUAUUGUUGUUUUUUAAGCAUUUGCACUAUAUCCUAAUAUUUUGGUUUGUAGCUUUCUUGGUUCCAAUAACAGCACUGGAGUAUCAGUUAUUUCUGUAAGACAAAUUGUGGGAGAUGCCAAAGUUUAAUAUUUAGCAUUUUGUUUAAUCCAGAUUGAAAGAUUUUGCUCAUCAAUGAUUGGCUGACCUUCUGUGGACCAAAGCGAUUCUUAAUAAUCCAAAUAAUAAUCUCUAAAACAUCCUUAAACUGGAUGCCUCCUCCAAAAAACCUUUUAGUCAAUCUGUCUCUCUGACCUUUGAAAUGUGUCUCAGAGCGCUUAUGAUCGAUGCAGUUAUGCAGUACAUUUAGAUGGCAUUUAAACUGUCAUAUUAAUAAAACAAAUGUUUAAUUGUCUGAAAUGAGAGACAAUUAUUAAAAUGUCAAUCUUCGGUGGAGGUGAAUCCUGCAUUACACCAUAAUAUCAUCACACAACAGCGGUGCUAAAUGCUUUAGAGCAUAAAAACUCUUGCACUUUUCACUUUACAUUUUAUUUUCAUCUACCUUAAUAGCUUCAUUAUAAUGCCAAUGUCAUAUCAAAGAAAAGCAUUUUUGUUUUUUAAUAAGAAGCACAUUAAAAACAGUGUAGAUGUUAAGCAAUAUGUGUUGACUCUCUAGUAUCUUUUGUGUGUUGUAGAGAGAAGACAAAUGCACACAUGUGAGGCUCAUAAACUCUGUACAGUGCUUAUUAAAGUAAAUGACAACUCAAACAAAUGAGACGAUGACCAACAGAUGUGAGAUAUCCAGGUCAAUAUUACCUCAUUUAUGAAAAACCUUUAUCAAUGGUGCAUAUCCAAGAUCUGAUGUACUGUACUGAAAUAAUAAAUGGCACUGAACAUAAUAAAAUAAG